GUAACACGUGGGUAACCUGCCCUAAAGUGGGGAUAACAUCUGGAAACAGAUGCUAAUACCGCAUAAAACCUAACACCGCAUGGUCGUAGGGGUUGAAAGAUGGUUUCGGCUAUCACUUUAGGGAUGGACCCGCGGUGCAUUAGUUAGUUGGUGAGGUAAAGGCUCACCAAGACCGUGAUGCAUAGCCGACCUGAGAGGGUAAUCGGCCACACUGGGACUGAGACACGGCCCCAGACUCCUACGGGAGGCAGCAGUAGGGAAUCUUCCACAAUGGACGAAAGUCUGAUGGAGCAACGCCGCGUGAGUGAAGAAGGUUUCGGAUCGUAAACUCUGUUGUUGGAGAAGAAUGUAUCUGAUAGUAACUGAUCAGGUAGUGACGGUAUCCAACCAGAAAGCCACGGCUAACUACGUG
rnacentral:rRNA from 1 species